rnacentral:rRNA from 1 species
GACGAACGCUGGCGGCGUGCUUAACACAUGCAAGUCGAGCGAUGAAAUCCCUUCGGGGAUGGAUUAGCGGCGGACGGGUGAGUAACACGUGGGCAACCUGCCUCAAAGUGGGGGAUAGCCUUCCGAAAGGAAGAUUAAUACCGCAUAACAUUAGUUUUUCACAUGAAUUACUAAUUAAAGGAGUAAUCCGCUUUGAGAUGGGCCCGCGGCGCAUUAGCUAGUUGGUGAGGUAACGGCUCACCAAGGCCACGAUGCGUAGCCGACCUGAGAGGGUGAUCGGCCACAUUGGAACUGAGACACGGUCCAGACUCCUACGGGAGGCAGCAGUGGGGAAUAUUGCACAAUGGGCGAAAGCCUGAUGCAGCAACGCCGCGUGAGUGAUGAAGGCCUUCGGGUUGUAAAGCUCUGUCUUCAGGGACGAUAAUGACGGUACCUGAGGAGGAAGCCACGGCUAACUACGUGCCAGCCGCCGCGGUAAAAC